UAAGAGGUCCCGCCUGCCCGGUGACAAUAAAAGUUUAACGGCCGCGGUAUUUUGACCGUGCAAAGGUAGCGUAAUCACUUGUCUUUUAAAUGAAGACCCGUAUGAAUGGCAUAACGAGGGCUUAACUGUCUCCUCUUUCUAGUCAAUGAAAUUGAUCUUCCCGUGCAGAAGCGGGAAUAAUAACAUAAGACGAGAAGACCCUAUGGAGCUUUAGACACUAAGACAGACCAUGUUAAUCACCUCUAAAUAAAGAUUUAAACUAAAUGACACCCUGUCCUAAUGUCUUCGGUUGGGGCGACCAUGGGGAAACACAAAACCCCCACGCGGAAUGGGAGGAUUAACCCUUCUUUUACCCUCCCACAAUUAAGAGUUACAACUCUAACUAACAGAAUUUCUGACCAAGCAUGAUCCGGCAAUGCCGAUCAACGAACCAAGUUACCCUAGGGAUAACAGCGCAAUCCCCUUUUAGAGUCCAUAUCGACAAGGGGGUUUACGACCUCGAUGUUGGAUCAGGACAUCCUAAUGGUGCAGCCGCUAUUAAGGGUUCGUUUGUUCAACG
rnacentral:rRNA from 1 species